GUCUUACAAGAUAAAGGUCCAUUAGGGUUAAUAUGUUAAUUAUAUUUGUUCCUCAACGGAUCAAUUGUAGCUCUCUGUAUUGAGAGCAACUAAAAGAGCUUACUGUAGAUAUGUUGUCCAUGUUUCUCUUUGCUCUUUUUUCAUUCAGAAUGGUGUGAGUUCACCCCAAAUGAGGUGGGAUUUACCAAGUAUGGUGCCUUUAUACCUGCACAGAACUUUGGGAGUGAAUAUUACCUCGGUCACAUGGUCAAGAAACUCCCACAAUCUGGAAUUGACUCUUUAUUGGACACAGAUGACAAACCAUCAGCGUCAUACACACUUCAGGUCAACCCUAUGACUGUUUUGGCAAAACUUCAUUCCUAUUUGGCCCCAUUAUCUGCCAAGUGUUCAACUUCCUUAGAGGCUUCCACCUGCACAUGAACUACAGUGAGAACUGUGGAUUCACCACAUGGAAAGAUGUCUUCCCAAACUCCCUGACACCAGCUGACACCACACCAGCUGAGUACAACUUUACCAAUUAAAUUGUUUUGUCAACUUUAUUUCUACUAAAAGCAGUUGUGUUUGUCUGUUUGUGUGGCAGGAGUGAAGAGAAAAGGUAAGGCGGAGAUGAAGGAUGUAGAUUUUGAUAUUGACUUCACUAUUGAUUCCCCGGGAACACAUGAUAGAUAAAAAUUGAUAGCCUGAAUGCACUAAGCUGACCAGCCUCACCACCUACAACAACAAAGACGUAAUUCUAAACAUGCUGAACAAAGCACUGAAGAGAAUCAAGGAGAGAAUUCCUGUCACAGAGGCGUCGAAAUUCUGGUUUGAUGAUGACACUGGAAGUUGAGGCUGACAGCAGGAGCAACCGGAGAGUGAUUUUUGUCUAUAUUUAACAAAAAGGAUUCAUUAAAAGGGAUAGUUCACCUAAAAAUGUCAUCGGUCAUCACCCUCAUAUUGUUCCAAAAU